rnacentral:rRNA from 1 species
UACAGGGGGUGCAAGCGUUGUUCGGAAUUACUGGGCGUAAAGGGAGCGUAGGCGGAAUUGCAAGACAGAGGUCAAAUCUCCGGGCUCAACCUGGAACUUGCCUUUGUGACUGCAGUUCUUGAGUAUGGUAGAGGUUGGCGGAAUUUCCGGUGUAGCGGUGGAAUGCGUAGAGAUCGGAAAGAACACCAGAGGCGAAGGCGGCCAACUGGACCAAUACUGACGCUGAGGCUCGAAAGCGUGGGGAGCAAACAGG